AGAGUUUGAUCAUGGCUCAGAUUGAACGCUGGCGGCAUGCCUUACACAUGCAAGUCGAACGGUAACAGGUCUUCGGAUGCUGACGAGUGGCGAACGGGUGAGUAAUACAUCGGAACGUGCCCGAUCGUGGGGGAUAACGAAGCGAAAGCUUUGCUAAUACCGCAUACGAUCUACGGAUGAAAGCAGGGGACCGCAAGGCCUUGCGCGAACGGAGCGGCCGAUGGCAGAUUAGGUAGUUGGUGGGAUAAAAGCUUACCAAGCCGACGAUCUGUAGCUGGUCUGAGAGGACGACCAGCCACACUGGGACUGAGACACGGCCCAGACUCCUACGGGAGGCAGCAGUGGGGAAUUUUGGACAAUGGGCGAAAGCCUGAUCCAGCCAUGCCGCGUGCAGGAUGAAGGCCUUCGGGUUGUAAACUGCUUUUGUACGGAACGAAAAGACUCUGGUUAAUACCUGGGGUCCAUGACGGUACCGUAAGAAUAAGCACCGGCUAACUACGUGCCAGCAGCCGCGGUAAUACGUAGGGUGCAAGCGUUAAUCGGAAUUACUGGGCGUACAGCGUGCGCAGGCGGUUAUAUAAGACAGAUGUGAAAUCCCCGGGCUCAACCUGGGAACUGCAUUUGUGACUGUAUAGCUAGAGUACGGC
rnacentral:rRNA from 1 species